rnacentral:rRNA from 1 species
UUGGAGGGCAAGUCUGGUGCCAGCAGCCGCGGUAAUUCCAGCUCCAAUAGCGUAUAUUAAAGUUGUUGCAGUUAAAAAGCUCGUAGUUGAAUUUCGGGAUCAGAGUGUCGGUCGUGCCUCGGUACGUACUGGUAUUAUUGGUUCCUACCUUCUGAAGAACCGCGAUGUCAUUAAUUUGGUGUCGUGGGGAAUCAGGACUGUUACUUUGAAAAAAUUAGAGUGUUUAAAGCAGGCUUACGCUUGAAUACAUUAGCAUGGAAUAAUGAAAUAGGACGUUUGAUUCUAUUUUGUUGGUUUCUAGGAUUGACGUAAUGAUUAAUAGGGAUAGUUGGGGGCAUUAGUAUUCAAUUGUCAGAGGUGAAAUUCUUGGAUUUAUUGAAGACUAACUACUGCGAAAGCAUUUGCCAAGGAUGUUUUCAUUAAUCAAGAACGAAAGUUAGGGGAUCGAAGACGAUCAGAUACCGUCGUAGUCUUAACCAUAAACUAUGCCGACUAGGGAUCGGAUGAUGUUAAUUUUUUAAUGACUCAUUCGGCGCCUUACGGGAAAC